CAGGACUGAGUAUAAGCUACUCCUCUUCCUUCUAGGACUCCUUGGCUACACCCAAUCUGCAGAAAUUGGGCUGGUGAGCUGACUCCAGCCCAGUUUGCCCACCUUGGUGUCUCACUAAGAAUAAAUCAGGCUGAGUGGGAUCGUUAGCAUGCAUAUUUCCAGUGGGUGGUUAACAGACUGGGAUUUACUGCAGCAGCUCUGUAUGCUGAGAAUGACACCAUACAGUCUGGGAUCCCUUUGGUCAGUUGGAGGUCAGUGGUCCCAGCUGUAUCCCCUCGUUGUGCACCCCGAGCCUGCUGACUGGUGCUGAGAAUCACACAGUGUUUGAGACUGGAAGAGAACUCUGGAGGUCAUCGAGUCAACCCUGCUGCUUCUCAAGCCAUGCCACCUAGAGCAUGUUGUCCAGGGCUAUCUC